rnacentral:lncRNA from 1 species
AUUUGCCAUCUUCUGGAGUGAGCAACUGUUGCUACCCUCUUGGGCCCAUCCAAAAAGAAACAUCCAAGCUCCCGAGGGACAGAGAGAUGCACAUCACAAAAGCCAGUGGGUGUGCGCUUUAUCGCUUAGUGCUUAACCUGGUCAUCUACCUGCCAAUCAGCUGAAACAUACCAAUCUACGUGGGAAGCUUCCAUUCGUAUAGUCCUGCCGCUUCCUGUGGCCGCUGCAUAUUCAAUGCUCCUUGCUGCUUAUUUCUGGAAUUGAGGUGGCCUCGUGCUUUUAUAGGACAGCAAUUGACACAUUUGCCCUGGCAGCUGAGACAGCCCAUGAGGAAAGACGCUUUGGGGUCCACCUGUCCUAUUUAGAAACAGUUACACAGUUCUUCAUGGUCUAUGACUCCAAGGUCUGAAAUGAUCUCAUUUACCCCACAUGAUAGAUGUGGCCCUUCCAGAUGAGGAGUUCAACAAGACUACAUGGUAGAGCAGCCAGAGAACCCACUGGAAAUAAGGCUCAAAAUAAGGAGUAACCACAAAAUAAGAGACAGAGAAUGCUGAUUCACUAUGCAGUGAAACAUGCCUAACGUGUCAACAGCUAAAUGCCCGGUGACAGUGUGGUUGUCUGGGCAACAGAAGAAGUCACCCACGCAAACACUUAAAGGACCAUACUUAUUUUACAAGAGGAACAGUUUUCAAUGGAAUGGAUAUUAAAACACACACCUGGAUCCCUUUACCACAGGUGCUUUGAGAGGCACCAUCAAGGACAGUGAGCUAACGCAGGAGAAUGGAGUCCCAGAAACCUAGGAGGAGAAGACAAAGUGUCAGCCUCUCGGCAUCUGCAGUGUUGCUAGGAAAAGAGCUCUGAUCCCAGGGGCUUACCCACUUCCACAGGUAGGAAGCGUCCCUGAGAGGACUGGAACAUUAGCAUAUCUCAGAUCCAUCUGCAAAACUUUUGCAAACACGGAACUCCCUCGUUCUAAUCUUAUCAGCAACUUCCAGAGCUGAACCUUGAUUAAUCUGGAUACAAAAAGGAUUGAAACGCCACAUAAUAAGCAUUAACAGGAGGGUGUUUCCUUUAUCAAUGAAGCUUGAUUUAUCCAUGAUGAUCUAGUGCAUUCUCCUCCCAAAAAUCAGGAUCAUCCUCUGCAUAUGAAGGAACAGACAAGCCCUCAGCUCUACCACUUUGGAGAGGGGGGGAUUGGACAGCAUGAGCCUUCAAUUGUAUCUCUUGGAUGACCAAGGAAGGCUGGAUUUCUGCACCUAAAAAAUGGAAGCACAAACUGUACAACAAAUACUCUCCAUUCAAGUUGAAGUUCUCAAAUAAGGUAUCCAAUUAACCAAUGUAUUAAUAACAUUGAAAAUAAUAAUCUCAUAGGAAGAUUCCAAAAAUUUCUGGUUUUAUAUCUAGCAAAAACUUCAUGCACUAUGUUUGAUUUGUAUGUAGAACUCAGGGUGAACAUGCCAGUGACAGUGGCAAUGAGAGGGGUAACUGGGGGCCAGAAGCAGGCUGAGGGAGAGGAGAGGAGGGGGCAGAGUGUGCUCAGGGAACCAUGAGCCAUGCAGGAUAAGCAAUAGGGCAGAAUAAACAGGACAUACCCAUCUGUUUAUUCUCUCUGUAUAAUGUUUUGAUUCUCUUUGUACCCUAACUAACCAAGGCACAGCUCAGGAAGUUGCUGCCAGGAUUAGAAAAAGGGAGUUGCACAUUCUCAAAAAGCAAUGGUACAGUGCAAAGAAUGGUAAUUAAUCCCCCAGCACACUUGACCCAGCCCCUAAAGAACUUUGUGACCUUGGGCCAGGCAGGCAGCUCCCAGGCUUCUGUUUUGUCAUUUUUGACCUCUUCUGGCUGCAGUGAUUCAUUUCCAGAUAUAGGUUGCUUCAGCUCAUCUCAAAGUCUUCUUGUAGCCUGUUCUUUGAGAAAUGGUAAUAUAUCUCUUGAAAAGUUUCUUUUUCUUGCAAAGUCACCCAAUUCAUGAGUUAAUGAGGUCCCACCAGUGAUACGAUUGCAGAGUCACAAAUAUCACUAACUGAAAGGAGUAGAAGGAAGGCGGGAAUUGCAGACACACCAUGAGUGGGUGGCCUCCAGGAGAUACACGUGAGACCAGCCCUGUGGUGGGCCAGGUCAGAAGGACUUCUGCUUAGACUAGGUGGAAACUUCUCAGCAUUCUGAGGAGUACCACCAUCUGACUGGCAGUUUGAAGGUAUCACUUGGGCUGCUGUAUCAAGAAUAGACUUCAGAAGACAAGUUGAACGUAGCAAGACCAGUGAGAAAGGUGUCAUAGCCGUCCAAGUGCAGGGUGGCAGUGGAGAUAGGAGUUAUAUUAAGGAGAGAGUCACCAGGAUUUGCUGAUGGGUUAGGUGUGGGCUGUGGAAGAAAGAUCAAAGUCAAGAAUGACUCCAAUGACAUUGUCCUAAGCAAUUGGAAUGAUGAAAUCACAGUUGUUGAGAUGGGGAACCUGCACAUGGAGUGAGUCUGGAGGAGAGAUUAGUUGUUUGGCUUUGGCCAUGCUGAGUUUCAGAUGUGUUUCGACACACAUGUGGAGGGGUUACGCUUGAAUGUCUGAGUCUGACUUUUGUAUUGAGAUGUUCCUAUCCUACUUCUUCCUACCUCCACCCUGCAAAGGAUGGCCAUGGUUAUCUUCAGUGCCCCCACAAAGCUCUGUGCAGAUUCCUGGUAUGUCACAUUUAUUUCAAAUGGCUUUACUGAGAUGUAAUUGAUAUAUAGUUCACCCAUUUAAAUUGGACAAUUGAAUGGUUUUUAGUAUAUUCACAGAGUUUUGAUCAUGUGUAACAUGGUCUAUUUUUAGAAUAUUUUUGUCACCCCUUCCCCUCUAAAAAACCUCAUAGCCAUUAGGAAACAUUCUCCAUUUCCUAGCAUGGUAUUUUAAAAUAGUGACAAUUCCUAUUUUCAAGUCUGUCAGUAAGCCUCUUAAUGGUAGGGACUUCCGUGUUAUUUGUUUUUGCAUUUCACCCUGUAACAAUUACUCAAAAAAGCUGUUGUAUGAAUGAACUACAGUUUGAAAAAUACGACCCCAAGACUGUGUGUCUUUAAGAGAGAACCAACCCUUUGCAUUCCGGUGCUCUUCGUAUGGCUGCCUGUAGCAUUUUUCAGAUCUAGUUGAGAAACCGAUGGGAGGAUAUGGAGAUAAGUCUCAUUACUCUUUUCUUUCUUGGCUAUACUUCUCUAGCAUCUGUUGUAAACAAAACAGAAAAGAGUCUUUCUAAACCUGGUGAAAAUAUCUCAAAUGCAAGGAAGCCAGUGAUGAAAAAUGCAAUAUCAAAGUUCGGGCUGUUACAAACACAUGGCAUAAAUCACAUCUGCUCAUUAAACUUAUUACAAAGAAUGAUAACAAAAGCAAAGAGAUGUCUGAAAAUGUCUUGGGAAAAAUAAAGUAGCUAAUAAAUUCGUGGUUUUACUGUUUUAUGUCAUAAGGAUGGAUAUAAUUUCAUUUGGGACAAAUGUUUCUGGACUCAGACUACAGACUACAGAUUUGGAGCUGAAGGCCACUACCAAGGCAAUCUCCUCUAACAUCUUCAUUUCAGAGCUGAUGAGCUAGAUAGUCAUGCCCUGUGACCUCUCAGCUGGUUAUGGCAGAGCUCGCCCAAGAGCAAGGGGCGUAAUAUAUUAAUUAGUUUAAACUGAUAUGCGUUAUGUACUAACAGGGUCUGGGCAGACCAGUAGCAUCUAAAUAUUAUUCUAAGAGUCAGAAGCUUUUUUUCCAAUAAAGCCUUAUGCUGAAAACAAUAAUUAUGGCAGAAUCCUUCUGAUGGAGCCUGGGGGGUGGACUGCUUUUUCCCUCUGCUGCUGCAGCCCUGACGUGGUUUAGUGUGUCCUGGGACUAUCCCUUUGACAUCCCUCCUCUGUAUUCUUCUGAAAUACAGGACCCAUCCACUGCAUAUAGUCACAAGUUUACUUGCUUCUCUUCCCUCCUAAACUGUGGAAUCUCUCAACAUAAUGAUUGUGUCUUACACAAAACUGCAUAUCUCAGUUUCUGAACUCAGGAAAUAUUAACUUUGUUCUUUGACUUGCCAGGUUCUUUUCAAGGUGUUGGUGACACAGAUAUGAGGAAAACAGAGUUGACUCAUGGUGAUGGAGCUUACAUUCUAUGGGGCAAGAGUGAGCAGAGGGUAAAUCAUGAAAUAAAGAACUUACUAUAGACACAUAUUGUGGGGAAAAUACAGCAGCAGAAGAUAAUAGGAAGUGUCAGGACAUUUGGAGUGGCUAAAUCUGCUGUUUUUUUUUUUUUUCCAGAAUGUGGACAAGAAGACAUCUUCAAUAAAGUGACAUUUAUAUAGAGACAUAAAGAAAUGGAGGGGGAGCCAUGCAUAUCAAGGAACAUAAGUGCAAAGGCCUUGAGUUAGAAUCCUGUAGGGUGAUUUGUAGAAACAGUAAGGCCAGAGAGGAACACAGCUGGAACAGAGUGAAUUAGGAGAUGUGAACAGAAAGGUCGCAGGGAGUCAGGUUAUUUAGGACUCUGUAGGCCAUUGUAAAUAUUUGGGAUGGGACACUGGGCAGAGGAGUAACAUCAUCUCAUUUCAGUUUUGAAAGGUUCACUCCAGCUACUCUGUUGACAAUGGAUUAUAGAAGACUGAACAUGGAAUCCAGGAGACCAGUCAGAAAACUUCUUCAGGAAUCCAGCACAGUCUUGGCCUGUUCUGGAGAAUGCUCCCCAUCAAAAAUAAUUGACUGGAGACAAGCCAAGUCAGGAUUCUCCCUGGGAUCAAUUUCUGAUGGCGCUUUCUUCAUAAACAGGGGGACCUUUUCAAAUUCCUCUUCCCACUGGUCCUCAUGAAAGCCGCCACGGUAAGGCUGGCUCUGGAACUUUUCCAGGAACAAGUCCGUGGCAUCGUCUGAGGUGGGGUCCUGCUCAGGUUACUCCAUAACUGAUGCCCUGCCCUCCAGCCCAGGUCCCGGCACCGUGAAGUGUAGAAAAUACUCUACAAUGAAUAAAAAUAAAAUACAAUAUUCAAGAUUUAUGAAUGCAAUAAAAGCAGUGGUCAGAAGGAACAUUUAAGCUCUAAACACAUUAAAAAAGAAGAAUGAUAUUAAUAGAAAAUCUAAUUGUGUAUCUUACAUAACUAGAAAAUGAAAAGCAGUCUAAAGCCAAAGCAUGAAGGAGGUAGGAAAUAAUGAUUAGAGGAAACAUAAAUGACAUAGAGAAUAGAAAAACAAGAGAGAGUAUCAAUGAACCUAAAAUUUGGUUCUUUAAAAAGAUUACCAGAUUUGACAAACCUUUAGCUAUACUAAUAAUAGAAGACUAAAAUAAAUAAAAUUAAAAAUGAAAUCAUAGACAUUAUAACUGAUACCAUAGAAAUACAAAGGAUCAAAAGAAACUACUAAUGAACAAUUAUAUGCCAACAAAUUGGAUUACCUACAGGAAAUUGAUGAAUUCCUACAACAUACAACCUACCAACGCUGAAUCAUGAAGAAAUAGAAAAUCUAAACAGACCAAUAGUGAGUAAAGAGAUUGAGUCUGUAAUCAAAAAUCUUACAAAAAAGAAAAGCUCAGUAUCAGACAGCUUCACUGAUGAGUUCUAUCAGUCCUUUAAUGAAAAUUUAUACCAAUCAUUGCCAAACUCUUUCAUAAAAUUGAAGAGAUGAGAAUAGUUCAUAAUUCAUUGUAUGAGGCUGGCAUUACGUAGAUACAAAGCCAGACAAAGACAUUACAAGAUUGUCUCUUUUAAGUAUAGAUGCAAAGCCUCUUGAUAAAAUCCUAUCAAACUGAAUACAGCAGCAUAUUAAAGGGAUCAUACUCCAUGACAAAUGGGAUUUAUCUCAGUAAUGCAAGAAUGGUUCAACGUAUGAAAAUCACUCAAUGUAAGAAACCACAUGAAUAGAAUGAAGGGAGAAAAAAGACCCCAAAAUAUACGAACAUUUCAGUUGAUGCAGAGGAAUCAUUUGAUAAAGUUCAACAUUCUUUUAAAACACUCAGUAAAUGAAGAAUAAAAGAUAUCUUCCAUAACACGAUAAAGGUGAUAUAUGAAAAACCCACAGCUAACAUCACACCCAAUAUUGAAAGACUCAAAGCUUUCCCUUAACAAUGGGAACGAGAGCAGGAUUCCUACUGUCGCUAUUUUUACUCAAUAUAGUAGUAGAAAUUCUAGCCAGAGCAAUUAGAGAAGUCAAAUAAAUGAAAAUCUUACAAAUUGAAAAGAGAGAAGUUCUCCAUUCACAGAUGACCUGGUCUUAUGUGUAGAAAGCUCUAAGGAUUUAAUAACAAAACUAUUAGAGCUAAUAAAUGAAUUAAGCAAAGUUGUAGGACAAAAAAACAAUAAACAAAAUCAGUUGUGUUUCUAUACACUAGAAAUAAGCAAUAGGACAAGUUUUUUAAAACUUUCUUUUUAUAGUAGCAUCUGAAAGAACAGAUAUGUAGGAAUUUAAUCGGAAAUUAAAGACGUACUGAAAACUACAAAACAUUGCUGAAAUAAAGAAGUCAUAAAUCAAUGGAAUGUGUUCAUGGUGUAAGAUUUAAUAUUGUUAAGGUGAUAAUGCUACUCGAUUUGCUUUGCUAAUCAAAGCAAUCUACAGAUUGAAUCCAACAAUUUUUUUUUUCUUGUGGAAAUAGAAAACCCAUUCUAAAGUUCAUAUGAAAUCUUAAGGGACCUUGCAUAGCCAAAACAAUCUUGAAAAGAAUAAAUGUGGACAACUCACAUUUCCUGAUUUCAAAACUUAUCACAAAGAUACAGUAAUCAAAACAGUGAGGUACUUGUAUAAAGACAGACAUACAGACCAAUAGAUUUGAAUAGAUAUUCCAGAAGUAAACUCUCACAUACACAGACAAUUGAUUUUUGACAAGGGCACAAAAGCCAUUCAAUGGGGAAAAGGACAAUCUUUUCAACAAAUGGUGCUGGGAAAACUGUGUAUCCACAUGUAAAAAAAUGAAGUCAAACCUUUUCCUCAAAUUAUAUACAGAAAUUCACCAAAAAUGAAUAAAAUACUUAAAUAUAAGAACUAAAACUAUAAAACUCUUAGAGGAAAACAUACAACUAAAUCUUCAUGAUAUUAAUUUCUUAGAUAUGACACCAAAAGGAUGAGGAAUAACAAAAAUAGAUAAACUGAAGGGUAGAAAGCAAAGUGAUAAUGGAAGAUGAGAGUCGAGUGAUGUGACCAGGAGCCAAGGAAUGCCAUGGCCUCUAGAUGUGGGGAGUUAAGGGACCAAUUUUCCCUGGAAACUCCUGAAGGAACUUGCCAUGCCAACACCUUGAUUAUAGCCCUUUAAGAUACAUUUUGGACUGUUGAUCUCCAGGAUUGUAAGAUAAUACAUUCGUGUUGAUUUAAGCCACUGAAUAUGUGGUGAUUUGUUACAGCAGCAAUAGUAAACUGAUACACAAUCUCAAUGAAAGUAGGGAUUUCUGUCUUCCCACACCCUGCUCACUUCACUAGAGAAUUUAUAGCACUUAGUGUAUUCUUCGAUAAAUAUUUGUUGAGUAAGAUGAAUGAAGCCAGACUUUAGAGUCAGAUUACACUUGGCUGGUUAACUGUUGUGAGGAAAGCAGUUGAAAGUUCUCUUGGCCUUGCUUCUACUUGCACUGGGAAGCACUGUCAUCAAUGAAGGGGUUGCUGUGGGUUUCAAGAGAAAAGAAAAGGUGUGAGAAUCUCCCAGGUACAGUGGGAGCUCAUCUGGACUAGGGAAAUAAAAUAGGAUUGCUUGGUUAUUGCUCACUUGGUCACUAAUAUAACAUGAAUUGAGACAGUAUGGUUGUAUAUUUUUCUCCAAUUAAGGUUAUGGGGUGGCAUGGCCUAGGGGAAGUUACUUAUUUUGCAAGGGUGAUUUGAUAGAGGCAGCAAGCCAGGUAGCUGGGAUGUUUGCAAGGGCAUGAUCAUAAUGGUGUACCAUGCAAUUUAAGCAGGGGCAGGUGGAAAUAAGGACUUGAUGUGAUAUGUUCAGAUCCAUGAAUAAGACAUCAUAACAGGAGUCACAGUAUUGUCAGACUAGAAGUACUGGAGGAAGGGAGCUGGACAUUUGAAAGAGAUGGGAGGGUGGAAUGUUUGAGAUUGAGUGAAUGGAGGUGCUGUGUUCAUUUGGUCAUGCUAAGGUCUUGGGGUGGCCAUGGGAGGGGUGGGUGGCUGAGGUGGGGCAGAGGACAGACUCAUCUGGAGAUGAUGCAAUAAAUGAAGGGGAAAGCUAGGCCCUGCAAGGAGCUCUCUUGUGUGUAUUAAAAUCAUCAAAAACUGUGGCAGGAGUGAUUGCAGAGAUCCUAGUGACCCAUGAUCAAGGAAUGAAGAGGAAGACCAGCGGUCUAGAGAUUACUGCACAUGUGGGGUGGGAAGAGGGCGGUAACAGAUGACAAUCAUUAAUUUGAUAAAAAAGUAUUGAAUGUCUGCUCUGUGCCAGGCACAUGGUGGUAGGGUCUGAUGGGAGGUUAAAGGGAAGAGAGGUGGAUAAUGUUCUGGAGAUUUCAAUGAGCAAGAAGGGUAUUUAGCCCACAUUGAGGCCCAACAGAUUGAAGCCUUAAAAGAAAACAGCAACACCUGAGAAGGAUGCCAGGAAAUGAGUCCUAGGGGUACAUGUGGAGUCAGCUGGAGCACAUCCAGGAAGAAGGACAGAAGAAAGACUGUGAAGGACUUGAGUCAGGGAGGGGUGUGAGCUGACUCAGAAAGGGUGAUGCAUGGGUAGGCCAUGGGGUGAGGGAUGAACGGGAGUCUUGGAUUUCCUGUGGUCACUCAGGGAAACCCAGCAGCUAAAAGUAAGUGAUUUAAGCAAAUGAAUGGACAGAUGAAUUAAUGAAUAGACUAAAGAUGGACAAAUGCUUCCACCAGCCUUGCUUCAGGCCCUAUUUAGAACUGAAGUUGACUUCCUCUUUCUUUUAAUAGCUGCAAAAAUGAUGAAUUUGAUUUUCGUCUCUAGAAGCAAUUUCCUUUUUAAAUCAGGUGAGGAUCUUGGCAGAUGCGAAGAAUCUUUCAGAACCUGCAUGUAUAUGAGAAAGGGAUAUGACAGCAUGAAGUUCUCCUGUUUGAAGAAGCUAAAUGGAGCCACUUUUUGACUCAGUUGACUGGGACCUGGAGCUGGUGCACUAUUUGAAUUGCAUGGUGUGCCUGCCGCUGCCUUUUGACUUCUCCAGCCUGUACACCUGCCUUUUUGGGGAGAACUGUGGUAACAUAUGGGGAGGCGUCCUGUAUUUUCUGCAAUAUCUGACAAAGAAAAACUAGUUGGUUCAUAUGUAUAUAUGAUCUUUCAACAAGAACGUCAAAUAAAUAUCUUCACUCCUUGGGGAGAAGCAGGUCAGAGCCCCACUGUCUCAGCUAGCUCUCACUUGGCUGUCUUGUUUUGGGGCUGGAAGGCCACACUGUGUUUCCUGGGGUAGAGGCGGAGUCUGGGCAUUCUCCCUUUGUAGCUGAGAGCUAAGAGCAGUUGUGUCUGCUUUGAUAAAAUAAAGUUAUUUUUUAGUUUAGUCUGAUCUCCAAAUCCUUCCCUUUCAGAUACCUCUGCCAUCCAAGAUCAGGGGAUACUAAAUUUUCAAAGCAUUUUCUCAGGAGUUGCAUGAGAAAACAUACACCUGCUCUUGUUUUCAAGGGGUGUGGGCAAGAAGUAAAAAGGACAAACUGUUAAUGAGAACACUUUCUGUAUUCCUCCCUCCCCACUGAUACAUACCAGUACCAUAAAAUUUAAAAUGAGUCAAAUGACUGCAGUAAGACUUUACUUUGGUAUACGAGGCAAAAUGUUGGACAUGGGUGCUAAUUAAUCAUCAGAGAGUUACAGGGGAACCUGGACGAAUUAAGACUGGGGCAAGAGACAGCUCAUCAAGGAUCUUGCCCUGUAGCUCAAGAAGAAAAUGUUUAACUUAGUUGCCUGGACACUCUGAGGAUAGAAUGAAAUGCUGUAUGCGACCUGUUGGCCUUGGAAGCCGGCAUGGAUUCAGCACCCAGGGUUGGGGUGAACCUUCUCUCCCUCACUGUGUCAGGCAUCUUAGUCUGCCCCAGGAUGUGCAGGCUGCCUGUCCCUGGCCUCACAUCCUGCUGUAAGUGGGAUUGUGACCCCCUGAAAUGCAUAUGUUGAAGCCCUAACUGCCUCUGUGAUGGUAUUUGGAGGUGAAGCCUUUGGGAGAUAAUUAGGGUUAGAUGAAGUCCUAAGGACCUCCAUGAUGGGAUUAGUGUCCUUACAAGAAGAGGAAGAGACACCAGAGCUUCCCCUCUCUCACCUGUGAGGACAGAGGUAGCAGGUGGCUGUG